rnacentral:sRNA from 1 species
GCUGGACAUGGUGGCACAUGCCUGUAAUCCCAGUUACUCAGGAGGCUGAGGCAGGAGGAUCAAGUUGAAGCCCAGCCUGAGCAUCUGGGAGAGACCUUGUCUUCA